GUGCCAGCAGCCGCGGUAAUACAGAGGGUGCGAGCGUUAAUCGGAUUUACUGGGCGUAAAGCGUGCGUAGGCGGCUUUUUAAGUCGGAUGUGAAAUCCCCGAGCUUAACUUGGGAAUUGCAUUCGAUACUGGGAAGCUAGAGUAUGGGAGAGGAUGGUAGAAUUCCCAGGUGUAGCGGGUGAAAUGCGUAGAGAUGUGGAGGAAUACCGAUGGGAARGSARCCAUCUGGCCUAAUACUGACGCUGAGGUACGAAAGCAUGGGGAGCAAACAGGAUUAGAUACCCUGGUAGUCC
rnacentral:rRNA from 1 species